UACAGAGGUCUCAAGCGUUGUUCGGAUUCAUUGGGCGUAAAGGGUGCGUAGGCGGCGCGGUAAGUCGGGUGUGAAAUCUCGGAGCUUAACUCCGAAACUGCAUUCGAUACUGCCGUGCUUGAGGACUGGAGAGGAGACUGGAAUUUACGGUGUAGCGGUGAAAUGCGUAGAUAUCGGGAGGAAUACCUAUGGCGAAAGCAGGCUACUGGACCAUCACUGACGCUGAUCUGCGAAAGCUAGGGGAGCAAACAGG
rnacentral:rRNA from 1 species